rnacentral:rRNA from 1 species
AGCGACUGUGCAGGUUACCGCGGCUGCUGGCACGGAGUUAGCCGGUGCUUCUUCUGUGAGUGAUGUCCUUCCUGCCGGCUAUUAACCCGCAGGCCUUCUUCCUCACUGAAAGUGCUUUACAACCCGAAGGCCUUCUUCACACACGCGGCAUGGCUGGAUCAGGGUUGCCCCCAUUGUCCAAUAUUCCCCACUGCUGCCUCCCGUAGGAGUCUGGGCCGUGUCUCAGUCCCAGUGUGGCUGAUCAUCCUCUCAGACCAGCUACGGAUCGUCGCCUUGGUGAGCCGUUACCUCACCAACCAGCUAAUCCGACAUAGGCUCAUCCGAUAGCGCGAGGCCCGAAGGUCCCCCGCUUUCCCCCGGUAGGGCGUAUGCGGUAUUAGCCUGGGUUUCCCCAGGUUAUCCCCCGACUACCGGGCAGAUUCCUAUGCAUUACUCACCCGUCGCCGCUCGCCACC